UCUAAAACUCAAAGGAAUUGACGGGGCCCGCACAAGCGGUGGAGCAUGUGGUUUAAUUCGACGCAACGCGCAGAACCUUACCAGCCCUUGACAUGUCCAGGACCGGUUGCAGAGAUGUGACCUUGUCUUCGGAGCCUGGAGCACAGGUUAGCAUGGCUGUCGUCAGCUCGUGUCGUGAGAUGUUGGGUUAAGUCCCGCAACGAGCGCAACCCUCGCCCUUAGUUGCCAUCAUUCAGUUGGGCACUCUAAGGGGACUGCCGGUGAUAAGCCGAGAGGAAGGUGGGGAUGACGUCAAGUCCUCAUGGCCCUUACGGGCUGGGCUACACACGUGCUACAAUGGCGGUGACAAUGGGAUGCAAAGGCGCGAGCCCUAGCAAAUCUCAAAAAA
rnacentral:rRNA from 1 species